rnacentral:rRNA from 1 species
UUGCNANNANAAUAAGCGGAGGAAAAGAAACCAACCAGGGAUUGCCUCAGUAACGGCGAGUGAAGCGGCAAAAGCUCAAAUUUGAAAUCCCCCCGGGGAGUUGUAAUUUGAAGAUUGCGUCUUGGAGGCGACCGUGUCUAUGUUCCUUGGAACAGGACGUCACAGAGGGUGAGAAUCCCGUGCGGCACGGCCCCCGGCUCCUUAUAAGGCGCUCUCGACGAGUCGAGUUGUUUGGGAAUGCAGCUCAAAGUGGGUGGUAAAUUCCAUCUAAAGCUAAAUACAGGCGAGAGACCGAUAGCGAACAAGUACAGUGAUGGAAAGAUGAAAAGCACUUUGAAAAGAGAGUGAAACAGCACGUGAAAUUGUUGAAAGGGAAGGGCAUGCCGUCAGAUUGUCAGUGUGGGUAAGAAGCGGGGUACAAAGACUGUGGAACGUGGCCCUCGGGUGUUAUAGCCGCAGUUCAUGCCCCGUCUCUUUCCGAGGCCUGCUUUGAGGACACCGACGUAAUGAC